rnacentral:rRNA from 1 species
GACGAACGCUGGCGGCGUGCUUAACACAUGCAAGUCGAACGGAAAGGCCUUUUCGGAGGUACUCGAGUGGCGAACGGGUGAGUAACACGUGGGUGAUCUGCCCUGCACUCUGGGAUAAGCCUGGGAAACUGGGUCUAAUACCGGAUAGGACCGCACUUUAGUGUGUGUGGUGGAAAGUGUUUUCGGUGUGGGAUGAGCCCGCGGCCUAUCAGCUUGUUGGUGGGGUAAUGGCCUACCAAGGCGGCGACGGGUAGCCGGACUGAGAGGUUGGUCGGCCACAUUGGGACUGGGAUACGGCCCAGACUCCUACGGGAGGCAGCGGUGGGGAAUAUUGCACAAUGGGCGCAAGCCUGAUGCAGCGACGCCGCGUGGGGGAGGACGGCCUUCGGGUUGUAAACUCCUUUCGCCAGGGACGAAGCGUUUUGUGACGGUACCUGGAGAAGAAGCACCGGCUAACUACGUG